UUGAUGCCACCGCCGCACCCCGGACACAAACCAGAAUAACGCUUGGUAACUGGCGGGAACAUGUUGGAAAUGAAACUCAACGAAGAAAAUAAUCUGACUGAUCUGUCAAACUGGUUUUGGCAAAAUCAAAACAGCUGAUUUGUUGCUGUCAGAAAACUUCCAAGUUUUGUUUUCUGAGGCCAAAAAAACGAUGUUAGAUCGAUUGGCCAAUUAUAAAGCGAACAGUUUGCUCAAUCUUUGCAAUGAACAAAAAGCAAAAGGAUGCGAUGGAUUUCCGGGACCGCAGAGUCUGUCCCUGGAAGGCAAGUUCCAACCAUCCUCAACGAAACUAUUUGGGAAUUGAGGCGGAAUAUUUCAAAGCUGGUCCGAACCAGGAUGAUGCCUCCCAACUAAAUCAACUCGUCAGAACCGUUCCCGGGUUGUUUGUGAUUCUCCGGCGCGCUUCCGUUCAAACGUCGAAAACAAUACGAGACACUGAUGCAGUGUUGAAGACGCACAAAUUGAUUGAAUAAAACCGAACAUUCCAAACG